GGAGCACAACGUCGAAAGCAGCCGUUGGGAGCCCAGGAGGCGGGGCGCCUGUGGGAGCCGUGGAGGGAACUUUCCCAGUCCCCGAGGCGGAUCCGGUGUUGCAUCCUUGGAGCGAGCUGAGAGCUCGAGUACAGAACCUGCUAAGGCCAUCAAACCUAUUGAUCGGAAGUCAGUCCAUCAGAUUUGCUCUGGGCCGGUGGUACCGAGUCUAAGCACUGCGGUGAAGGAGUUAGUAGAAAACAGUCUGGAUGCUGGUGCCACUAAUAUUGAUCUAAAGCUUAAGGACUAUGGAGUGGAUCUCAUUGAAGUUUCAGGCAAUGGAUGUGGGGUAGAAGAAGAAAACUUCGAAGGCUUAAAAACGUGCCUGCUUCCCCUUCGCCUUCUGCCGUGAUUGUCAGUUUCCUGAGGCCUCCCCAGCCAUGCUUCCUGUACAGCCUGCAGAACUGACUCCUAGAAGUACCCCACCCCACCCCUGCUCCUUGGAGGACAACGUGAUCACUGUAUUCAGCUCUGUCAAGAAUGGUCCAGGUUCUUCUAGAUGAUCUGCACAAAUGGCUCCUCUCCUCCUUCCUGAUGUCUGCCAUUAGCACUGGAAUAAAGUUCCUGCUGAAAAUCCACAUCUCCCCUGGGUCCGGUGUUCUGGAAGUGAGAGAGACAAUGUCACACCUCAAGGAGACAGCUCUCUAGACAGGAAGGUUAUUCACGUCCCAUGUCAAGUCUAGCUAGAGUUCAGAGCAAUUGAGAAGUGCGAUUUUAUCUCCUGCCUUUCAUUCUAUACCCUGCUUCUGAACCAUCGUGUUCAACUGUGAAACUCACGCUUUGGUGACCCUGACUCCAAAACUUAAUACACCCAAGGUCAGCCCCAGUGAUCUGCUUCAUAGCGAGGACUUUGGGUGGGUCUUCCCAGGGAGUAGGGCACCCUCAGAGAAUGUGGCUUUGGACUUCAUCACAGCUAGGGUCUUUUGUGUCACUUCAGAUCUAAACUUGUAACUGUGCUAGAUCUGUUUCUAAUGUGACAACAUCACAAACCACGAGUCCAGAAGCCUAAUCCAUAAUCCUACCUCCUCAUGACGAAGUCUCAUGCUCUGUGCUCAACAUGGUUAGCUGCACAAGAUGUAAACCAAAGCUUCACUGAACCCUCGACCCAAAUCGGUAACUCAAGUGCAUCAAUCAUAAAGAACCUCCCC
rnacentral:lncRNA from 1 species